AACGAACGCUGGCGGCAGGCUUAACACAUGCAAGUCGAACGCAUCCUUCGGGGUGAGUGGCAGACGGGUGAGUAACGCGUGGGAACGUGCCCAUCAGUUCGGGAUAACCCAGGGAAACUUGGGCUAAUACCGGAUACGUGCGAGAGCAGAAAGAUUUAUCGCUGAAGGAUCGGCCCGCGUCUGAUUAGCUAGUUGGUGGGGUAAUGGCCCACCAAGGCGACGAUCAGUAGCUGGUCUGAGAGGAUGAUCAGCCACAUUGGGACUGAGACACGGCCCAAACUCCUACGGGAGGCAGCAGUGGGGAAUAUUGGACAAUGGGCGCAAGCCUGAUCCAGCCAUGCCGCGUGAGUGAUGAAGGCCUUAGGGUUGUAAAGCUCUUUCGUCCGGGACGAUAAUGACGGUACCGGAAGAAGAAGCCCCGGCUAACUUCGUGCCAGCCGCCGCUGUAG
rnacentral:rRNA from 1 species